rnacentral:rRNA from 1 species
GACGGAGGAUGCAAGUGUUAUCCGGAAUCACUGGGCGUAAAGCGUCUGUAGGUGGUUCGAAAAGUCCACUGUUAAAAAUUGAGGCUUAACUUCAAAGAUGCCGUGGAAACUUUCAAACUAGAGUAUGGUAGGGGUAGAGGGAAUUUCCAGUGGAGCGGUGAAAUGCGUAGAUAUUGGAAAGACCACCGAUGGCGAAGGCACUCUACUGGGCUAUUACUGACACUGAGAGACGAAAGCUAGGGGGAGCAAAUGGG